GGUAACAGGGGUAGCUUGCUACACGCUGACGAAGCGGCGGACGGGUGAGUAAUGCAUAGGAAUCUGCCCGAUAGUGGGGGAUAACCUGGGGAAACCCAGGCUAAUACCGCAUACGUCCUACGGGAGAAAGGGGGCUUCGGCUCCCGCUAUUGGAUGAGCCUAUGUCGGAUUAGCUAGUUGGUAAGGUAAUGGCUUACCAAGGCAACGAUCCGUAGCUGGUCUGAGAGGAUGAUCAGCCACAUCGGGACUGAGACACGGCCCGAACUCCUACGGGAGGCAGCAGUGGGGAAUAUUGGACAAUGGGGGCAACCCUGAUCCAGCCAUGCCGCGUGUGUGAAGAAGGCCCUCGGGUUGUAAAGCACUUUCAGCGAGGAAGAACGCCUAUCGGUUAAUACCCGGUAGGAAAGACAUCACUCGCAGAAGAAGCACCGGCUAACUCCGUGCCAGCAGCCGCGGUAAUACGGAGGGUGCAAGCGUUAAUCGGAAUUACUGGGCGUAAAGCGCGCGUAGGUGGCUUGAUAA
rnacentral:rRNA from 1 species